UCGGGGAGGGGGAGCGCCAGGGAGGUGGAGCCCCAGCCGCAGCACCGGGAGGGGCCGGGAGAGGAACCUUGGCGGCCGCAGGGGACACCCGAGAAACCACCGCGCGGCGCUCGGUUCCGAGCGGGGCAGCUCCGAGGGCCGCACACAGCGGGCCUGCGGGUAAAACCGCUGGGUUUUGAAACAGCGGAGGACCAGAGCGGUGUCGUCCCGGAUCGGGUUGGGGCGGGACUCGAUGUGCGAACCUGGAACCCACCAUGGGGCUCCUCUGCCAUCGUGCCGUGGGCUCUGGUGUGACCCUAACAAACCUCUCCUCACUCUCCCAUGCGAAGCUCAAAAAAUAGAGAGAGAGAGAACAUAAGAUCCGACCUGUCUUGAGAUUUCCACACCCUCAGCGCGUCUCAGUCACCACAAACCACCUUACAACUCACCGCUCCCACAUGCUGCCCGUCUCUGCGGAGAAGGAGGUGGCACUGAGCGAAACUCAGACGCUAUUGUCAUCUUCGUCGUUGGCAGACACUGAGCGAGCCUUCGCCUUGAUUACGUCUCAUCAGCUUGUUGCCUUUCAGGUUCAUGGAUGCCUUCUCCAAUUACAGAGAUGAACUUGGUUUUGCAAAACUUAAAAUUUAAUCUGAGAUUAAACGCACGCCGCAUCAGUGACACGCUGUGUUUCCUGCUGCGGGCUGAGAAAGAUACACCAAGUCAGCCUGCGUUUGGGAAGUCCGGCCCUCAGCGUUCCCUUCUCUAGACAGUUACGCCACGGAUAGAUGAAUUUAGGCUGUGUAAAGACAUUUGUUACAGCACUGUUUCAAGUAACAAAAGUCUGGGGAACACCUGGAGACCCUUCCGCAGAAAGUGGGUGAAAUACGGCACCAUUGAAGAGCGAAGUCGCUCUACUUGCGCCGAUGUGGAACAAUCUCCAAAUAUCACUAUGAAAAAAGCAACUUGGGCAAAUUCAUGUAUAAAAGCAAGGAAUAAACACAAGACUGGUAGUAGACAGCAGGCACUUUGGCACAUCCUGUACACCAGGGGCCUCCUUCCAGGUGGUUGUACCCGAGGAUUAGAAGAGUUCACCUGGGAGAUACACAGAUAUGGACUCCUGGGAUACUCCAAAAUCUGCAGGUCCAGUAAAGAGAGAGAAUCCAGAAGAGGAAGCUACAAAAGUAUGUCCUCUUUUUUGGGGGAAACCGGAAGGGUGCAGUGGUAGGUGCCAAGAGAAGAAAGGAUGAGGAGAACAGAAGCCAACUCUAUUGAAUGUCCUGGAAGGUCAUACCUGAAAAGAACUAAGAUACGAUGACAGGAUUGGAAGUGUAGAGCUCAUUGCUUUACCAAGAGCAGUCUUCAAGUACUGGCUCACAGAAGAGUAUAAAAUAAAGAAAUGGAGACCAGCACUAUAAGAAAUUCUCAAUAAAAAUUUCCAUGCAUAAAAACAGGAUAGUAACUGUGGGAGGCUGUGAGGACAGGUUGGUUCGUUUGUUGAAGUUAGGGAAUACACUAGACUUAGGAAUAGUUGUCAAAGGUGAAGAAGAAACAUCCUUGCCAAGGGACAUUUGGAAAUACGUGGAGUUACUUUUGAGUUGCUGCAAUUACCAGGGCAUGCUCCCAACACUUACUGGGCUGCAGGUGGAGCUGAACAUCCCAUGGAGCUCAGGGCAUUCUCUCAUGAGGAGGAAUGCCUGCCUCCUGUGCAUCGAGUCCAUUUAUAUGCUGAUAUUAAUGGUCUAUAUCGGACCAUGAUUUUCUUUGGCUCUCCCAGCAAAAAUGUCUAAAGUCAUCACUUGAUGUUUUUGCCAUCCAAAAGGACUUCACCAAACCUUCAAGAGUUCUGGAUAUGUCUUUGAUUAUUCCACCUUACAUCACUUGUAUUCUGCAGAAUCAAUCACUGGAACCAGGAGAAUGCCAGGCACAGAUUGGUUGACAUCAUCCCUGAACCAAUCAAUCAUUUGACCAAUGACAAGGAGGAUGGGGGCAUGCUGAUUAAUCACACAGCUGUUCUCCGUGCAGGAGGAGUGGAAUGGUUGCUUGGGGAGCAGCCAGAAUCAUUUAAGAAUCAUUAAUUAUUGAUAUUGUCUACUAUAUUUAUGACUCAAAAGGUUAUACCCUUGUCAGACUUGGUAAAUAAAAUGGUCUUGAAAGAAAUAUAUAAGGACCCAUCCACCAAUAACCCCUUCCCCUCCUCCCUCCUAGUCACUGCCUUAGUCUCUGGGACUUCUGAGUCCUGAUUAGGGAUAUCACAAAAAAUGAAUGUGGAUAUGUCUCGUUAUGUUUUUUUCUGAUCAGUGCAUUAUGGCGUUGAUUGAUAAUACACAUGAUUGAUAAUGUUCACUGA